rnacentral:rRNA from 1 species
GACGAACCGUGCGAACGUUGUUCGGAUUCACUGGGCUUAAAGGGCGCGUAGGCGGGCUUGUAAGUCAAGGGUGAAAUCCUCCGGCUCAACCGGAGAACAGCCCCUGAUACUGCAGGUCUCGAGGAAGGUAGGGGCAUGUGGAACUUCGGGUGGAGCGGUGAAAUGCGUAGAUAUCCGAAGGAACGCCGGUGGCGAAAGCGACGUGCUGGACCUUUUCUGACGCUGAGGCGCGAAAGCCAGGGGAGCAAACGGGAUUAGAUACCCCGGUAGUCCUGGCCCUAAACGAUGGGUACUGGAUUGUGGACUGACAUGGGUUCACAGUCGAAGCAAAAGUAUUAAGUACCCCGCCUGGGGAGUAUGGUCGCAAGGCUGAA